rnacentral:rRNA from 1 species
CUUACCAGGUCCAGACACAGUUAGGAUUGACAGAUUGAGAGCUCUUUCUUGAUUCUGUGGGUGGUGGUGCAUGGCCGUUCUUAGUUGGUGGAGUGAUUUGUCUGGUUAAUUCCGAUAACGAACGAGACCUCAGUUUAUUAAUUAAAUAAAAAAAUAUUAACAAUAUAAGGGUUAGGAGUUUAUUGAUAAAUUACUUGUAAUUUAUUAAUUUCUUUUAAAACUUGUUUAUAUUUAAUUUUAUUUUCUUAAAAAGACACUUGGUGUUUAACCAAGGGAAGUUUGAGGCAAUAACAGGUCUGUGAUGCCCUUUAGAUGUUCUGGGCCGCACGCGCGCUACACUGAUAAAAUCAAUAAGUUUUUUAACAAUCACCUUAAUAGAAAUAUUUGGGUAAACUUUGAAAAUUUUAUCGUGCUGGGGAUUGACAAUUGUAAUUAUUUGUCAUCAAUGAGGAAUUCCUAGUAAACGUAAGUCAUCAGCUUACGUUGAUUACGUCCCUGCCCUUUGUACACACCGCCCGUC